AUGGCAGCCUGUGUGUCUCCAACAUCAGCUACACAACGCAGCAAGUCCAUUUGGAUCAUUGGAGACAGCUACGUGAGGCGUGGUGCCCAGAGAGCUGCAGAGACCCUCGGAGACAACCUUGGCCUCCCUGACGUCCGUGUCUCCUGGUUCGGUUGGGGCGGACUGAGGUGGAAAGACCUUCUCCCCUUCUUUUUCAACUCCAUGCAUGGAAGAGCAGCUCCUGAUCUGCAGUGUGAAUCUGGUGAACAUGAAGGAGGACCUGCACCGGCUUCACCUUCUACACCCUCAUAUCACACUGUUGAGAACUGUUCUUCCUUCACAACCCAAUGUUCCACUCACUCUGCAGCUCUCUGGGCCCCUUUUAUUAUUUUAAGUAUUUUUUAAAUGUCCCAACACUUUGUGUCCUGUUAUUUUAUAAAAUGUGACAUAAAAAAAAUAAAUGUUUUUGCUCAAUUACUGGAAUUUCUUUGGUUAAGACAAAAAAAGAAUCAUUUAUGCCAAGUUGUUUCUACAACAGGCCUGUUUUAAGUCCAACAGUUUCUUAGCAGCCAAUAGAAAUGUGUUCUUUACUAACUUCACUUGGUUUAAAAAUCUUACUAAAAUAAACAGAGUGCUGUAUUUCAAAACCCAAUCAUACUUGUUAUGUAAAUAUUAGCUUUGUAGAUAUUUUUUACAGAUAGAUAUUUGUGUGCUAAAAAAAACAUAAACUUAAAUAAUUUGUCAUUCUUUAUUGAAAAACAACAAAAUACAGGUAUACAGAAAGUGUGGGAAAACGAUAAUGUGAAAGUAUUGCACUUUAAAUGUAAUCCUAUUUAUCUUUAAAAAGAAAAACUAAAAAUGUCCUGUACAGCAACAUGACAGAAGAAAGUUAGUCUGUGUGUCAGGAUGUGCUGAACAGAUUUGCUCUAUCAAGAGGAGCGUUUUGUGUACGAGUUUAUGUUAUUGUAAUAUUGGUUUGGGUUAUGUAUCUGUGACAUGAUCCAGGUGGAAUGGAAGGUGCCACUAAUAUUAAAAGGUUCUAAAAAACAAGGCAAGCAGUGUGACAGCCAAAGCAAAUUAAAAAGGUACAUUUAUUACAAAACCCUGAUGAUGAUGCCAAGGAAAAAAAAUCGUUCAAUCGAGUGUGCGCAGGGCCCCAAGGGACAAGGCGGUCCAGUCCGGCCCUGCUGAGCUCUCAACCAAGGAAUCUCCAAGGCCGGCGUCGUCGUCUGGGAACCACAGGAUCGUCGCACGGUGGAUCCAAUCCGCCUCCUCCUCGGCCCGGCCCCUGUGGCACACAACAACUCCGGCAGUAAAUAGGUCCCCGGCACCAGACCACUCACAGAGAGAGAGCAACUCUAACACUGCCAGGCUCUGAUCAAUUACUUACGCUCGGGGGCAGAGUAACCCUGCCCGCCUGCCAUGUUGCACUCUGUGCCCUGGCGUCUCCGGCCGCGGAUCUCUCUCCCCGCUGUUGCUGCUGCUUCUCCUGCCGCUGCUGCUGCUGCUGUCUGUGCCGCCGGUGGAUCUCCUUCCAGUCCUUGCGGAGCUCGCGGUGUCCGUCUGGCUCCGGCCAAGUAUUUUCCUUUCCCCUCACGUUUCCGUGUCUCCACGUCCGCUCCCUUAAAUAAACAAAACCCUCCGCCCGUUCACCUCCCGCCCUGCCUCUGUUCAUUGUUUGCCAGUCCAGUCCACACCCCGCUCCCAGGUGUGGGUAAUUGGGGAGGAUUAACACAGAUGGGAUGCAAUGUUGCAGCAAUCACUAAAAACACCCAAACAGUUAAAAAUCAACCUAAAAGCACCUAAUCAAUUAGAAAACAUGCAAUAUAAAACAUAACAUAAGAACAUUAAACAUAAGAACAACAUUACCACUCUGUGACAUAUCGCCACAUUAGCAU
ensembl:lncRNA